rnacentral:tRNA from 1 species
AUAAAUAGGUUAAAAACACUUUUUUUUAAAAAAAAAGUGUUUUUAACACCAAAAUUUAUA